GUCGCAGUGAUUGAGUGGUCUAAGGAGAGUUCUUCUGGGUGUUAUGGUCCACUAAGUGGGCGUGGGUUCGAAUCCCACCUCCGAUA
rnacentral:tRNA from 1 species